rnacentral:SRP_RNA from 14 species
CUCCGAAGCAGGCCAGAACCUGAAGCGAGCAGCCCCACCAGGGCAGUCGU